CAGCAGCCGCGGUAAUACCGGCGGCCCGAGUGGUGGCCGCUAUUAUUGGGCCUAAAGCGUCCGUAGCCGGGCCCGUAAGUCCCUGGCGAAAUCCCACGGCUCAACCGUGGGGCUUGCUGGGGAUACUGCGGGCCUUGGGACCGGGAGAGGCGGGGGGGACCCCUGGGGGAGGGGGGAAAUCCUAUAAUCCCAGGGGGACCGCCAGUGGGGAAGGCGCCCCGCUGGAACGGGUCCGACGGUGAGGGACGAAGGCCAGGGGAGCAAACCGGAUUAGAUACCCGGGUAGUCCUGGCUGUAAAGGAUGCGGGCUAGGUGUCGGGUGAGCUUCGAGCUCGCCCGGUGCCGUAGGGAAGCCGUUAAGCCCGCCGCCUGGGGAGUACGGCCGCAAGGCUGAAACUUAAAGGAAUUGGCGGG
rnacentral:rRNA from 1 species